UACAGAGGGUGCAAGCGUUGUUCGGAAUUACUGGGCGUAAAGCGCGCGCAGGCGGAUCCUGUAAGUCUGGAGUGAAAUCUCACCGCUCAACGGUGAGGCUGCUUUGGAUACUGCGGAUCUGGAGACCGGUAGAGGCUGGUAGAAUUGCAGGUGUAGCGGUGGAAUGCGUAGAGAUCUGGAGGAACACCGGUGGCGAAGGCGGCAUUCUGGACCGAAACUGACGCUGAUGCGCGAAAGCCAGGGGAGCAAACGGG
rnacentral:rRNA from 1 species